UACGAAGGGGGCUAGCGUUGCUCGGAAUCACUGGGCGUAAAGGGCGCGUAGGCGGCCGAUCAAGUCAGGGGUGAAAGCCUGUGGCUCAACCACAGAAUUGCCUUUGAUACUGUUCGGCUCGAGACCGGAAGAGGUAAGUGGAACUGCGAGUGUAGAGGUGAAAUUCGUAGAUAUUCGCAAGGACACCAGUGGCGAAGGCGGCUCACUGGCCCGGUACUGACGCUGAGGUGCGAAAGCGUGGGGAGCAAACAGG
rnacentral:rRNA from 1 species